UCCUUACAAUAUUUCUUCACCUGAAUCGACAGCCACCAUCAUACCAGCAAUUGAAUUCCCUGAAUCGUUUCUACCUUUACCAGAUUCUUCAACUCAAUCGUCUCAAAUUUAAGGCCAAUUGAAUGUCCAUUGAAUUCCCAUCAGUUGUGAAUGUCGAUUGAAUUUCCAUUGAGGCCAUGCAUUUAUCGAUUCAUGAAUAUGCGAUUAAUGGUACCACUCCUUCUAUGUAUUAGUUAAAGAGGGAGAGAGAGUGAAGACUGGAGAAUACGGAGAGAGGGGAGCAGGCCAAGGCCCUCCGGCAACGGUGAUAUCGAUGACAACUACGAUAGGUUUGAACUCAAAUGGAGGGUGUAGUUCAGUUGGAAUUUGGAUAUGAUGAAGAUGAGUUUAGAAUUUAUUAUGGAGAUGAGGAUGAGUUGGAAGAAAUGUCGAUUGUUGGGGAUAUGGAUGACGGCGGUGGUUUGGGUUUCUGGUAGCAACAGCGAAGACGAAGAGCGGGGUGGUGGUGAUGUCUACGGUGAUGAUGAUGAUGGUUUUGUUUGACAUAGAGAAUGAUGGUGGUGGUUGUGAUUAAUGGUGAUGAAGACAGUGUCAGAUGGUUCCAGUCAUGGUGGAUGUCUGCGGCGAAGACACUCUCCGCCUAAACCGAAGAACAAGCUAAAAGACAAAAACUUCAACACCCGCAAAAACUCGGGAAAGUGGAACCGAGUAAACUUAUGAGUGACACGACGGUCGACAGGUUUUUAAGGUAUCAUGUACAAGGAUUCAAGAAGCCUUUUGUUGAGAAGUUUCCAGCAUGUUCCGUUUCAGCAAGAAGGCAUAUUGAUUCAUGUAGGCAUAUUGAUUCAUGUACUACGAUAUAAGAUGUUCAGGGGAUGAACUGGAUGAGUUUUGGAAAAGCUGCACAUGAUUUGGUCACGCGUAUGUAGAAAAUAGACGGUGAUAACUAUCCUGAGACAUUGCAUCAGAUGUACAUCAUCAAUGCUGGUACAAAAAAAGGUUCUAGGAAACAGAUAUCAGAAUACAUUGUUAGAAGCUAUUGACGCGAGGAUCGUGGAUUUGUUUCCAACUUCCAGAUUUUCUUGGUGGAACGUGUUCUUGCCCGAAUGAAGGUGGAUGUCUUAGAUCAGAUAAGGAAUGAUUUGGAAUUGAUGAAGAUAGAACUUGCCCGGAAGUAUAAUGAACUAGACCUCUUUAUGAAUGAAGAACAUCCUCAGUUUCAUUUGGUCAAGAUGGAGGUUGCAAAGUCCCGAAACAAACAACUUGUUCAGCUAUUUGGAUCAGGAGUUGGCAUUCACCAUGCAGGGAUGUUGCGUGCUGACAGAGGGUUAACUGAACGCCUUUUUCUGAUGGAUUGUUGAAGGUCUUAGUUUGUACAACAACUUUGGCAUGGGGAGUCAAUCUACCUGCACGCACUGUUGUGAUUAAGGGGACUCAGCUGUACGAUCUAAAGGCUGGUGGAUGGCGAGAUCUGGGCAUGCUGGAUGUCAUGCAGAUUUUUAGACGUACUGGUAGACCUCGGUUUGAUAAAAGUGGCGAAGGCAUUAUAAUUACAUCUCAUGAUAAGUUAGCUUACUAUCUGCGACUGUUGACAAGUCAACUUCCCAUUGAAAGUCAGUUCAUUAGCUCCUUGAAAGAUAACCUAAAUGCCGAGGUAACACCCCAUAAUGUGAAAGAAGCUUGUGCAUGGCUCGGAUACACGUACCUUUUCAUAAGGAUGAAAAUGAAUCCUUUGGCAUAUGGUAUUGGAUGGGAUGAGAUUGAUUAUGGAGGACGAUCUGAUUCAGGUCGAUGACUUUCACGUAGAGCUUCAUAGGGCACCGCCGGGGGGUCAGUCGGUUCAGCAGGGUCCACGACGGAGACGGCGGCCGCCUCUGGAUACGCUGCAGGGGCAUCCGUAUCUAGAGUUUCCCGACGGCACCGAUGCCGCCCGUCAUUGCCUGAAGCUUAGGAGGAUGCACAUUGGAUCGCAUGCAGCGAUCAACUUGAUGCGAUAGAUGGGAUUGCUGAGACGGCUAGAGUGCGUCGAUUUAUACCUGUCGAUUCGCCGUGGCAUCGUCUUUUUGAUUUGGCGCACACGCCGACCUACAGGGAGCUGCUGGUCGAGUUCCUUUCGUCAUUCACAUUUCACGCUCCUGGGGUCCAGUGCCGCUUCCGCACCCAGGUGCUCCCCCUCCGCCUGAGGUUUCUUUCAGGCUCGCUGGCGUUAUGCGUUCGAUGACGCUAGCAAAGUUUGCGGUGCAUUGUGGUUUAUACAUGCAGGGGGAGAUCGAGACUGAGGUUUACACAGCGGGGCUAGUGGUGGUUGACAAACCCACUCGUGUAGGGUUUUGGCAGGUGAUUGCGGGGGAAAAUCAUUGGGAGCACGACAAGUCGAAGGGGAGGGUGUCGUUUGUUAGGGACCCACUGUACAGGUAUCUGCACCAUUUGCUCGCUACGUCUAUUUCAGCGCGCAACUACAGCCGUGAGUGGUGUACGACCACAGAUCUUUUUUUUCCUUUAUUGUUUGUUGUAUAUGAGGUCGUGCGCGCUAGCACACGGUCUAGCCCAGUACUACGCCUCCGCCCAUCACCGGCAGGAGCGCGGAUUUUUGUAUGGUGGGGCGUACGUGACCGUCAUUGCCCGUUCAUUGGGCCUCGUACUGCACCAGGACCCACAUCUACGGACGCCGGCAAUCAUGCCGACGCAGAUGGGUUUUCAGUCGCUGUGGGGGAUGAAGGUAAUCAAGAGGUUCCCCGUUGGCCCGCGGUUUGGGCAUAUGGACAGAGGAGCCCCUACCAGAGCAUUUCGAGGCCGUUUAUCCUCCUGCAGAUCCUGCUGACGCAGUGCCCGUGGAGGACCCUCCGGAGGAUGUAGACGGUGCAGCGGUGCCACAGCCACAGCCACCGCCACCUCCCGGGGCGCCUCAGUUUCCAGGUCAUGCCCCAGGAGUUGCGCUACAUCCGGAUGUACGAGCCGAGCUUGACAGGCUCAACGAUUUGGUAGAUUGGUUGGUACGGGCCGAGCAGGAUAGACGAGAGAGAGAGGGAUUACCCCGAUAUCGCUUCCACCGGCUCGAGUACCACAUCAGCAACAGCAGCAUCAGGAUUCGGAUUCGGAUUUGGAUUUGGAUGCAUAGACCUGUUGUUGUUUUUAUUUUUAUUAUGGAUGUACAAACUUAUCUUAUAUAUUUUUGUUAUGGAUGUACAAAGUUAUCUUA